AACCUUACCUACCGUUGCUUCGGCGGACCGCCCCGGGUGCUGCGUGCCCCGGACCCAGGCGCCCGCCGGGGACCAUUCAAACCCUGUUUUUUAAUCAGUGUAUCUUCUGAGCGAGCCGAAAGGCAACAAAACAAUCAAAACUUUCAACAACGGAUCUCUUGGUUCUGGCAUCGAUGAAGAACGCAGCGAAAUGCGAUAAGUAAUGUGAAUUGCAGAAUUCAGUGAAUCAUCGAAUCUUUGAACGCACAUUGCGCCCGCCAGUAUUCUGGCGGGCAUGCCUGUCCGAGCGUCAUUUCAACCCUCGGGCCCCCCCUCUAACCGGGGGCGGGACCGGUGUUGGGGCUCAGGCGUCCUUCUCGGGCGCCUGUCCCCUAAAUGCAGUGGCGGCCUCGCCGCUGCCUCCUCCGCGUAGUAGCACAAACCUCGCGGCUGGAAGGCGGCGCGGCCACGCCGUGA
rnacentral:rRNA from 1 species